GUCUAUGGCCAUACCACCCUGAACACGCCCGAUCUCGUCUGAUCUCAGACGCUAAGCAGGGUCGGGCCUGGUUAGUACUUGGAUGGGAGAAAUAACACCGCAUAUC
rfam:Gorilla gorilla gorilla genomic chromosome, chr6, whole genome shotgun sequence